UUGCUUGCUUCAUCUAAUAUGUCUGAGUAGUCUGCUUGUUAGAAAUAGGGUUUCUCAUUAGGGAUUUAUAUGGUUUAGUAGAUUGCCCCCUUUGCUAGGUUAUCUAUAGAUU
rnacentral:sRNA from 1 species